rnacentral:rRNA from 1 species
UACGGAGGGGGCAAGCGUUGUUCGGAAUUACUGGGCGUAAAGGGCGCGCAGGCGGCUGCUCAAGUCAGGCGUGAAAGGCCUGGGCUCAACCCGGGAAUUGCGCUUGAGACUGGGCUGGCUUGAGUGCGGGAGAGGAUGGUGGAAUUCCCAGUGUAGAGGUGAAAUUCGUAGAUAUUGGGAAGAACACCGGUGGCGAAGGCGGCCAUCUGGACCGCAACUGACGCUGAGACGCGAAAGCGUGGGGAGCGAACAGGA